rnacentral:tRNA from 1 species
GCUUAGGUAGUUUAAUAAAGAGAAAAUAUUGAUUUGUGGUGUCAAAGAUGUAGGGAUACUCUAAGCA